UAUACAAUAUAACAUAAAUAAUAUAUAACAUUAACAUUCACAUAAUAUAACAUCAACAUAAUAUAUAAUAUUAACAUUCACUGACAAUCUUCUUUUAUAUUAUUUUCUUUCAUAUACACUAGUAUAUGGUAUAUGAAAGAGUAUUCAAUUUUUAUUUUACGAAAAAUGGUGGAUUUAUUCGGCAAAGAUAAGGGAAAUAUUUCAUUGUCAACACAAUUACAAUCUUAUGAAGAUGAAGACCAAAAAAGACUGCCAACGAUUAUUAAUUUGCAAAAAACCUUUUAUAGUAUUAAAAUUGCAGAUAUUGAAAAUAGAAUAAAUAGGUUUGACGAAAGAAACGACGAAUUAUUAAAUGCAAUCGAAACUACAAAUGAACAGACAGCUAUAGUAGAUGCAGAAACGACUGAAGAAAUUGCAAAUUUAAACAAAUUACUUUCAACCCAAAAUAAUUUAGUAGAAAAUUUAAAAGGAAAGAUCGACAUCAUAGAAAAUGAUCGAAUAGAAAGUGAAAAAUUACACGAAGAGAAAAUAGAACUGUUUGCUCGAAAGUACAAAAAAACGAAGGUUGAAUUAAUUUCUCAGAUCAAAGUCUUAAAUGUAAGAAUUAAUGUUUUGGAAGAUUUUAAAAAAAUGCAAGAUGUACUGAAAGAAAAGUUCCAAGCAAAUGAGGUGCAAAUGGUGGAGAAUGAAGAAAGGAUAAAAGAAACGAUGGAAAUUAUUAAUCGAAAAAUUGAAUUCGAUAAGGAAAUGGUCAAAAAUGAAAUGUACGAUUGUCUUCAUGAUCUAGCGAUACAGUUUCAGAAAGAAGUUAACAAACAUAUAAAUUUGCCAAAUCAAAGAUUAAUGAGAGAAAAUAUUAUGUUAAAAAAUGAAUUGUUACAAAUUUCUACAAGAGUUUCAUCGAAUAUUGACACCAAUAUCAUUCUUAAAAAUGCAGCAAUUGAUUACAAAAAGAGAAUGGGUGUACGAACUGCCUUUAUAAGAGAAAAUAUAGUAAUCGCGAAAGUACAGAAUGAAUUACUAAAACGAUUAAGGAAGAAGUUUUACAAUACAAAAGGAUAUCUUUCAUCUAUUAAUAUUCUUGAUCCUGAUGCAGAACAGAAAUAUUUAAUGUUAAUAGAAAAUGCCCGUCGAGAAGAGAACGACAUUAAUUUUCGUUUCUCAUCACUGAAAGCUUUACUUCAUAAAGAAAGAACGAAAAUUAACGUUGCGAGAUAUAUUUUGAAAAGAUUAGAAUGCAAAAUAAGAGCACUUUUGGAAACAAUUUAUGAUUUGAAGUAUAAUGCAAUGUGUUUACUAAAAUAUCCCUCUAGUCGCAAGGAUCUAAUAACAUUAAGCUGUAUUGAGUCAUUCUUAUUCUUGAGAGAUUUACUUAUUAAAAGACAAUUAAAACUUCGAAGCCACAUUAUUAAAUCGUCUGAAACUAUACCACAAGAAUUAGAAUCUGUGUCACAUAUAGAGGACAUCUCUGAAGAUAUUGAUUUUGACAUAACAGUAAACUUUAUAGAAGAAGAAUCAAGUAAAGAAACUUUAGAUGAAAUGAAAUAUAUUGACGAUGUAGAGGAACAAAAAGAAAUAUCUGUUGAAGAUAGGGAAUCUCAAGAAUCAUUCAUUGAAGAUAUUCUCAAAGAUACUACUGAUUUUCAUGUAGAAAAUUAAUAUAAAUUAAAUGCAAACUAUGAGUUUGCAAAGGAAUCAUUAUCUGACAUCAUAGAAGAAUAA